CCUACGGGUGGCAGCAGUGAGGAAUAUUGGUCAAUGGGCGCGAGCCUGAACCAGCCAAGUAGCGUGAAGGAUGACUGCCCUCGGUGUUGUAAACUUCUUUUAUAAAGGAAUAAAGUGAGGCACGUGUGCCUUUUUGUAUGUCCUUUAUGAAUAAGGAUCGGCUAACUCCGUGCCAGCAGCCGCGGUAAUACGGAGGAGCCGAGCGUUAUCCGGAUUUAUUGGGUUUAAAGGGAGCGUAGAUGGGUUGUUAAGUCAGUUGUGAAAGUUUGCGGCUCAACCGUAAAAUUGCAAUUGAUACUGGCAGGCUUGAGUACAGGUGAGGUAGGCGGAAUUCGUGGUGUAGCGGUGAAAUGCUUAGAUAUCACGAAGAACUCCGAUUGCGAAGGCAGCUUACUAAACUGCCACUGACAUUGAGGCUCGAAAGUGUGGGUAUCAAACAGGAUUAGAUACCCGAGUAGUC
rnacentral:rRNA from 1 species